UUUCCACCAACUGCACUCGGAUUCCAGUCGCCACCGCCGCCUUCACCGCGCCGGCCACCUCCCUUCCCCCGCAAGCCCUCCGAUCUGCAUCGCCGCCUCUUUCUUUCUUCAAUCGGCGGCUCCACCCCCCACCGCUCUCUCCGCCGCUCCCGCAGCCUCUGCCGCUUCUCCCGCCCCAUUGUCGCCAGAGCCGNCUGCGCUCGGAUUCCAGUCGCCACCGCCGCCUUCACCGCGCCGGCCACCUCCCUUCCCCCGCAAGCCCUCCGAUCUGCAUCGCCGCCUCUUCUUCUUCAAUCGGCGGCUCACCCCCACCGCUCUCUCCGCCGCUCCCGCAGCCUCAGCUGCUUCUCCGCCCCAUUGCACCGGAGCCGGAGGCCGAGAUGGACUACAUCAAAAACGUGCCCAGGGGAAAAUUCGUCAACACCACGAGGGGCUCGACCUCGCUGGCACCAACCGCGAAUUGCCGAGCCCCUAGAUCCCCAAAGUCUUACUGCCUCUUUGUGAUUUUCGGCGACCACGACAGCCAUGUCCGCCGAUUUGCUAC
rnacentral:lncRNA from 1 species